rnacentral:rRNA from 1 species
AUUGAACGCUGGCGGCAGGCUUAACACAUGCAAGUCGAGCGGAGAUGAGGUGCUUGCACCUUAUCUUAGCGGCGGACGGGUGAGUAAUGCUUAGGAAUCUGCCUAUUAGUGGGGGACAACAUUCCGAAAGGAAUGCUAAUACCGCAUACGUCCUACGGGAGAAAGCAGGGGAUCAUCGGACCUUGCGCUAAUAGAUGAGCCUAAGUCGGAUUAGCUAGUUGGUGGGGUAAAGGCCUACCAAGGCGACGAUCUGUAGCGGGUCUGAGAGGAUGAUCCGCCACACUGGGACUGAGACGCGGCCCAGACUCCUACGGGAGGCAGCAGUGGGGAAUAUUGGACAAUGGGGGGAACCCUGAUCCAGCCAUGCCGCGUGUGUGAAGAAGGCCUUAUGGUUGUAAAGCACUUUAAGCGAGGAGGAGGCUACUGAGACUAAUACUCUUGGAUAGUGGACGUUACUCGCAGAAUAAGCACCGGCUAACUCUGUGCCAGCAGCCGCCGUAACAC